rnacentral:rRNA from 1 species
ACAGUAUUUAUUAGAUAACAAACCAAUAUUCCUCUGGUCUAUUUGGUGAUUCAUAAUAACUGAUCGAAUCGUUUGGGUUGUACCCACGAUAAAUCAGCGAAGUUUCUGCCCCAUCAGCUUGAUGGUAGUGUAUUGGACUACCAUGGCUUUCACGGGUAACGGGGAUUAGGGUUCGAUACCGGAGAGGGAGCCUGAGAAACGGCUACCACUUCUACGGAAGGCAGCAGGCGCGUAAAUUACCCAAUCCUAAUUCAGGGAGGUAGUGACAAGAAAUAAUGGACCGGGAUUUUCCCGGGUUCACAAUGAGCCUAAUUUACACAUCUUAGUGAGGAUCCAUUGGAGGGCAAGUCUGGUGCCAGCAGCCGCGGUAAUUCCAGCUCCAAUAGCGUAUAUUAAAGUUGUUGCAGUUAAAAAGCUCGUAGUUGGACUUCUGUCGGUAGUAGUCGGGCCACUCCGUGUGGGUGCGCCUACCACUAUCGUCAUCCUUCUGUUAACGGUUCUGGCCUUCAUUGGUCGGUUCCGGGCUCAGAUACUUUACCUUGAGAAAAUUAGAGUGUUUCAGGCAGGCUUGCGCCC